CUUUCACUGGCUGCGCCGGGGGAUAUUGAGGGCAGGCAGAGGCACCAGUGUGGUCACGACAGCCAGCUCACAGCCUCCGGUUCGAAGGUGACUCAGCAGAGAAGACUUGAGGAGCUGGAGAGGGGUGCGCAGGCUUCAGGGGGCAGCCCGCCUGCAGCAUAGCUCACGCCCUCUGCAGACCCGGGAACAAUGAGGAAUGCUGGGAGACAGGUCUUGUCUCCUGCAGAGCUGGAGGGGAUCAUGAUCUGAACUUCCACGAGCCUGGGCCGGUCUGCUGCCAACCUUUGGAGAUGGGAUUAGGGAACACGAGUGGGGGUGGGGUGAGGCACACGGCAGAAAGCAACCCUUGGUCUAGAGCAGGUUUUCUCAACUGUGACGCUAUUGACAUUGUGGGCCGUGUGAUUCUUUGUUGAGGGGCCAUCCUGUGCACUGCAGGAUGUUGAGCCACAUCCCUGGCCUCUUCCCACAAAUGCUGGUA
rnacentral:lncRNA from 1 species